GUUGAAAAAUCUGAUCACGUACGUUCACCGAAGUUAAGCAAUAUCGAGCCUGGCCAGUACCUAGAUGGCUGACUGUUUGGGAAUGCCAGGUACUGUAA